UGGGGAAUAUUGCACAAUGGGCGCAAGCCUGAUGCAGCCAUGCCGCGUGUGUGAAGAAGGCCUUCGGGUUGUAAAGCACUUUCAGCGAGGAGGAAGGGUAGUGUGUUAAUAGCACAUUGCAUUGACGUUACUCGCAGAAGAAGCACCGGCUAACUCCGUGCCAGCAGCCGCGGUAAUACGGAGGGUGCAAGCGUUAAUCGGAAUUACUGGGCGUAAAGCGCACGCAGGCGGUUUGUUAAGUCAGGUGUGAAAUCCCCGCGCUUAACGUGGGAACUGCAUUUGAAACUGGCAAGCUAGAGUCUUGUAGAGGGGGGUAGAAUUCCAGGUGUAGCGGUGAAAUGCGUAGAGAUCUGGAGGAAUACCGGUGGCGAAGGCGGCCCCCUGGACAAAGACUGACGCUCAGGUGCGAAAGCGUGGGGAGCAAACA
rnacentral:rRNA from 1 species